rnacentral:rRNA from 1 species
UGAGGAAUAUUGCGCAAUGGGGGAAACCCUGACGCAGCAACGCCGCGUGGGUGAAGAAGGCCUUCGGGUCGUAAAGCCCUUUCGGACGGGACGAAAGUUCCGCGGGGAUAAUCCGCGGAGCCUGACGGUACCGUAGGAAGAAGCACCGGCUAACUCCGUGCCAGCAGCCGCGGUAAUACGGAGGGCGCAAGCGUUGUUCGGAAUUACUGGGCGUAAAGCGCGUGUAGGCGGCCUUGUAAGUCAGAUGUGAAAGCCCUCGGCUCAACCGGGGAAGUGCAUCUGAAACGGCAAGGCUUGAGUACGGGAGAGGGAGGCGGAAUUCCCAGUGUAGAGGUGAAAUUCGUAGAUAUUGGGAGGAACACCGGUGGCGAAAGCGGCCUCCUGGACCGAUACUGACGCUGAGACGCGAAAGCGUGGGGAGCAAACAGGAUUAGAUACCCUGGUAGUCCACGCGGUAAACGAUGGGCACUAGGUGUGGGGGGUAUCCACUCCUCCCGUGCCGCAGCUAACGCAUUAAGUGCCCCGCCUGGGGAGUACGGCCGCAAGGCUA